rnacentral:rRNA from 1 species
AAUACCUAGCGGCAGACGGGUGAGUAACAUGUGGGAAUCUGCCUUUUGGUUCGGAACAACACGGGGAAACCUGUGCUAAUACCGGAUACCUUCUUUUGGCCGCAUGGUCAGCUGAAGAAAGAUUUAUCGGUUUGGGAGGGUCUCGCGGCCUAUCAGCUAGUUGGCGGGGUAACGGCCCACCAAGGCAUCGACGGGUAGCUGGUCUGAGAGGACGAUCAGCCACACUGGGACUGAGACACGGCCCAGACUCC